GCGUUUGUGGUUUAGUGGUAAAAUCCAUCGUUGCCAAAUCAGGAGUUCUAUCUCCUGAGCAGUAUCGAUGGGCCCCGGGUUCGAUUCCCGGCGAACGCA